rnacentral:rRNA from 1 species
UACGGGGGGAGCAAGCGUUGUUCGGAUUUACUGGGCGUAAAGGGCGCGUAGGCGGCCACCGCAAGUCGACUGUGAAAUCUCCGGGCUUAACCCGGAAAGGUCAGCCGAUACUGCGGGGCUAGAGUGCAGAAGGGGCAACUGGAAUUCUCGGUGUAGCGGUGAAAUGCGUAGAUAUCUGGAGGAACACCGGUGGCGAAGGCGGCAUCCUGGACCCAACACUGACGCUGAGUGAGCGAAAGCCAGGGGAGCAAACGGG